UCAAUAGGAAAGAGGUGGGACCU
rnacentral:miRNA from 1 species